rnacentral:rRNA from 1 species
GAUGAACGCUGGCGGCGUGCCUAAUACAUGCAAGUCGAGCGAACAGACGAGGAGCUUGCUCCUUUGACGUUAGCGGCGGACGGGUGAGUAACACGUGGAUAACCUACCUAUAAGACUGGGAUAACUUCGGGAAACCGGAGCUAAUACCGGAUAACAUGUUGAACCGCAUGGUUCAACAGUGAAAGACGGUCUUGCUGUCACUUAUAGAUGGAUCCGCGCCGCAUUAGCUAGUUGGUAAGGUAACGGCUUACCAAGGCAACGAUGCGUAGCCGACCUGAGAGGGUGAUCGGCCACACUGGAACUGAGACACGGUCCAGACUCCUACGGGAGGCAGCAGUAGGGAAUCUUCCGCAAUGGGCGAACGCCUGACGGAGCAACGCCGCGUGAGUGAAGAAGGUCUUCGGAUCGUAAAACUCUGUUAUUAGGGAAGAACAAAUGUGUAAGUAACUAUGCACGUCUUGACGGUACCUAAUCAGAAAGCCACGGCUAACUACG